rnacentral:snoRNA from 1 species
UUAUCAACUGAGGAAUUAUGAAGAUGGUCCAUCCUCCAGGGUCUCUCACAGUGUCCCAUGGCAGAAAAAACUGUGGGUCCGAACUAUUGCCUGGCUUCUGCCAUGUAGGCUGCUGGUAUUGAAGUGAGUUGCACAGUG